UCUCAAGCGAGUGGCGAACGGGUGAGUAACGCGUGAGGACCCUGCCUCAAAGAGGGGGACAACAGUUGGAAACGACUGCUAAUACCGCAUAAGCCCACGACCCGGCAUCGGGUAGAGGGAAAAGGAGCAAUCCGCUUUGAGAUGGCCUCGCGUCCGAUUAGCUAGUUGGUGAGGUAACGGCCCACCAAGGCGACGAUCGGUAGCCGGACUGAGAGGUUGAACGGCCACAUUGGGACUGAGACACGGCCCAGACUCCUACGGGAGGCAGCAGUGGGGAAUAUUGCACAAUGGGGGAAACCCUGAUGCAGCGACGCCGCGUGGAGGAAGAAGGUCUUCGGAUUGUAAACUCCUGUUGUUGAGGAAGAUAAUGACGGUACUCAACAAGGAAGUGACGGCUAACUACGUGCCAGCAGCCGCGGUAAAACGUAGGUCACAAGCGUUGUCCGGAAUUACUGGGUGUAAAGGGAGCGCAGGCGGGAAGACAAGUUGGAAGUGAAAUCCAUGGGCUCAACCCAUGAACUGCUUUCAAAACUGUUUUUCUUGAGUAGUGCAGAGGUAGGCGGAAUUCCCGGUGUAGCGGUGGAAUGCGUAGAUAUCGGGAGGAACACCAGUGGCGAAGGCGGCCUACUGGGCACCAACUGACGCUGAGGCUCGAAAGUGUGGGUAGCAAACAGGAUUAGAUACCCUGGUAGUCCACACUGUAAACGAUGAUUACUAGGUGUUGGAGGAUUGACCCCUUCAGUGCCGCAGUUAACACAAUAAGUAAUCCACCUGGGGAGUA
rnacentral:rRNA from 1 species